GUGAUCGAUUCGGCAGCACAUAUACUAAAACUGGACCGACACAGAGAAGAUUAGCAUGGCCCCUGCACAAGAAUGACAUGCAAAUUUGUGAAGUGUUCCGUAUUUUA
ensembl:snRNA U6 U6 spliceosomal RNA